ACUAGAUUAAUAAUAGUAUUUCUUUUAUUUGCUUAAUUUUCUAUAUGCUGUCAUUAAUUUAGUUCUAAGCUCUUGCUAGGCAUGUAGGUAUCACUCAGUAUAUUCUCAUAUUAGGUAAUUUAUUAAUAUUAUCAUCUUAAGUCUUUCCUGGACAGCCCAUUCUUUAGACUUGCUGCAUUCCUCUCUUCAAUUUGUGAGGAAUUUGGGUAGACAUUUCCCCUAGAGUUUUAGCUUAUAACUGGGUAGGUAAGACAGGGUCUCCUGUGUAGACAGCUAUUUCCUUUGACAGAUUGUAUGUUUUAGGUG
rnacentral:lncRNA from 10 species